UAAGGACUGCCUGCAAAAUCUGAGAUUGGGCUUUGAAAGACAUCAACCUUUGCUUGCGAGAGAUAAUGGUAACUGCAGAUGCUAGAGAAUGCGAGAUAACAAUGUGUGGAGCUGGAUGAACACAGCAGGCCAAGCAGCAUCUCAGGAGCACAAAAGCUGACAUUUCGGGCCUCGACCCUUCAUGCGAGAGAACGUAACGUUUUUAAAGAAGAAAUUGCCCCAGUCAAACAAGAAGUCAAAAUAUUAAAUGAUCUGGCCAGUCAAUUAUCUCCGCUUGAUGUCUCUUUCUCUCCAAAGAUUUCUCACCAGCUUGAUGACCUAAAUAUGAGGUUGAAAUUUAUACAGCAGCAGGAGGUGAGGAGGCAGAGACUGCAACCCUGAGGUCACGGAGGGAAGGAAAAGAGGCUCUUACUUGGAGAUUGAGAAGCAGGAGAGGGCACAACCCAGAGGUUUGGGAGUGGAGAGAGGCUGCAAGUUGGAGGUCAAGCCACCAGACUCAGAGUACCUGUUGGGACCAUCCAAAAAUGACUGAACAUUUUCACUCAUUAGGUAAGUAGAUUGAUAAUAGGACUCUGGUUCUGUGCCACUGUCAGAUCAUUGCGACUCCAAAAGGUACCAAAGUAAAUUCUGGAUUCUAGGCAAAUAUACCUAUGUGUUUAAAUCUAUUUAGGUGCAUUCAUGUAGGCUAAAAAUACUUGAAAUAAUGUAUAAUUAGGAGUGACAGACAACAUCUGUGACAUUAAAUGAAAAACAAGAACAAAGAACUUUGGUUCAUAUUUCAGCUUCGACAGGCACUAAACAACUAAAAGCACUGUAUAACCAAUGAAGUAAGUUUUUGAAGUAUGUUUGUAAUGUCGGAAACACAGCAACAAAUAUAUGCGCAGAAGGCUUUCACAAACAGAACUGUAAAAAUGACCACUUACUUUGUGAUAUUGAUUGAAUGCUAAGUGUUGGCCAGAAUGUAGAUCCACUGAACUGAAUACAGGUGGUUUGUGGGUAAGAAAGUCUUAACCCUUUGGACAAACCUAAUUUUAUUUGUAAUUUAUUAGCAAUAACUGAAUUGUGCAGUUUAAGUUCAGAAGUUCCCAAUUUUAAGUGGAGUUUUAACAAAUUCACCUUUGAAGAGCGUUUGGGCUUGAUUAACCCAAGUCUCAACUGAGUUAACUCAGCCUUUUGUGUUAGGGAUGUAUAAAUUAUCCAUCUUAGGGGAGGCGAUGGCCUCAUGGUAUUGUCACUGGACUGUUCAUCCAGAGAGACAAAUCAUGUUCUGGGGACCUGGAUUCAAAUCCCGCUGUGGCAGAUGGUGGAAUUUGAAUUCAAUAAAUAUCCGGAAUUCACAAUCUGAUGAUGACCAUGAAUCUGUUGUUGCUUGUUGGAAAAGCUCAUCAGGUUCACGAAUGCCUUUUAGGGAAGGAAACUGUCAUCCUUACCUGGCCUGGUCUGCAUGUGACUCCAGACCCACAGCAAUGUGGUUGACUUUUAACUGCCCUCUGGGUAAUCAGGGCUGGGCAAUAAAUGCUGCCUCGCCAGUGACGCCCUCGACGAGAUUGAAUCAAGAAAAAAAAUUACGAUUGCCUUUUCUAACUUCUCAGCCUUCAGUAAUUGAUUCUCCCAGUGCUAGAGAAGAAGUGGUGACUGUGGCUUAUUCUAUUCCCAAGGUUUAACAUGAUGCAACUGAUGGUAAAGUUAAUAAGCUUUAUGAAAACAUAAGUAAAUAUAUAUAAUUAAAUAAAAAUAGCAAAGUCAUUAAUUAGAACUCGGCUACAACAUGUAAGAGCUCCUGUGUUCCAGUAUGGUCUGGUGCAAGCAUGUUUGCUGUAAGCACUUAAUGUUUGAGUAGCUUGUGUUUAUGAGCUGGAGGCUGAUCUAGGGAUGCUGGGACACAUCAGGAGGGGAGCAAGUUACCUGGAUUCUUUGCACCAAGAGGCAGUCACAGCCCUUAAGUUUGUGUUUGUCUGAUUUGGUCAGUCUUCAGGCGCAGGAGAGGUCGAUGGUGGAGGUUCAUUACGCUAAUA